AUUGAACGCUGGCGGCAGGCUUAACACAUGCAAGUCGAGCGGAGAUGAGGUGCUUGCACCUUAUCUUAGCGGCGGACGGGUGAGUAAUGCUUAGGAAUCUGCCUAUUAGUGGGGGACAACAUUCCGAAAGGAAUGCUAAUACCGCAUACGUCCUACGGGAGAAAGCAGGGGAUCUUCGGACCUUGCGCUAAUAGAUGAGCCUAAGUCGGAUUAGCUAGUUGGUGGGGUAAAGGCCUACCAAGGCGACGAUCUGUCGCGGGGCUGAGAGGAUGAUCCGCCACACUGGGACUGAGACACGGCCCAGACUCCUACGGGAGGCAGCAGUGGGGAAUAUUGGACAAUGGGGGGGAACCCUGAUCCAGCCAUGCCGCGUGUGUGAAGAAGGCCUUAUGGUUGUAAAGCACUUUAAGCGAGGAGGAGGCUACUGAGACUAAUACUCUUGGAUAGUGGACGUUACUCGCAGAAUAAGCACCGGCUAACUCUGUGCCAGCAGCCGCCGUAACAC
rnacentral:rRNA from 1 species